rnacentral:ncRNA from 1 species
AUACACUGCUAGGGGAGCUACGGCUGAGAAAUUGAAACCCUCUGAACCGGUCACGGUAAUUCGUGCGCAGGAAAGCGGAAAUUGAACCAA